AUUGAACGCUGGCGGCAGGCCUAACACAUGCAAGUCGAACGAGUGGCGGACGGGUGAGUAAUGUCUGGGAAACUGCCUGAUGGAGGGGGAUAACUACUGGAAACGGUAGCUAAUACCGCAUACCAUCGGAUGUGCCCAGAUGGGAUUAGCUAGUAGGUGGGGUAACGGCUCACCUAGGCGACGCUCCCUAGCUGGUAUGAGAGGAAGACCAGCCACACUGGAACUGAGAAACGGUCCAGACUCCUACGGGAUGCAGCAGUGGGGAAUAUUGCACAAGGGGCGCAAGCCUGAUGCAGCCAUGCCGCGUGUAUGAAGAAGUCCUUCGGGUUGUAAAGUACUUUCAGCGGGGAGGCGUUACCCGCAGAAGAAGCACCGGCUAACGCCGUGCCAGCCGCCGCGGUAAUAC
rnacentral:rRNA from 1 species